UUCUUCACUUGUCCUUGAUGUUCUUAAUCUCAGAGCUUUGCACCAUGCCUGGGGUCAGUUCAGGAAAUCAAGAAGCAGAUGAGUGAAUAUUAUUUUUAUGUCUGAUCAUGAUUGUUUCUACCGCUAGCUUGUUGCAUCCAGCUGGGUCUGAAUCAACUCAACUGCUGCAUGAACCUGUGACCUGCCGAAACUAUACUUUGGACCAGAAACUUGUUUACCAGUCAAGUCUCCAACAGCUUGCUCUGUCCCAUUUACAGUAUGAUGGAAUCUAUGGAGAAAGUUCAAGUGCCAGCUAACCAGAGAUAUUACCUUCUAGCCCCAGCCCUGAGAGUCUGACGUCCUACGGACACAUAUUCAGAACCAGCUGACAUAUUAAGGGAGGUUGAUAAGAUGUCAAAAGAUAUUCCCAUUCCUGACCAUAUAUAUUUGUGCUUAUUUAUACAUGUUUUAAGAUUAUGGAUCUUCAAAUAUCCAUUUUUUAUUCUCUUUAAAAAUACCCUCUUUUUAUAAAUUAGUCCCAUAGCAAGGCAUAUGAAAUAGUGGUUUGCAUGUUUAUAGAUUUUUUUUUAGACACUGAGACAAUAAAUAACAAUGUUUCAUUAUAGUAGAGUGUCAUACUUAGAAAGAUAUCUGCAGGAGGAUGUGCUGACCAGUAAUUGUAGUCAAGAACGCAAGAAUCAGGACAGAUUGGAGGACAGUGAACAUAACAGAGAGAAGCUGCAUUACUAAAAGUCUAGAUGUACUGUUUUUAUGAUUAAAACAAAAAUAAAGACAAGUGGGUGAGAAUGAGUGAAAGCAAGAGAGAAUGAGCUCAUGUGCUGGAUGAGAAAAUAUAGAAGAUUUAUUUGAAAUCUCAAGCAAAGUUUUGGAAUUGAGGAGAAGAGAAGAUGUAGGAUCAAAUCUGAAAAGCAAUUUAAAGUGCAAUUGUUAAAACCAUAAAUUUAGUGCCAUGAAUAGAAAGAGAAAGGCGCAGCUGGGAGGGGGAAAAUGAAUGAGGAGGAAGUAAAUUAGUCACAGAUGUGAGUACUUAGGGAAUUCAAUACUUGUUGAUUUGCUGUUUGGAAUGAUGGUAGAUCCACAGGUUGAGCAAUCAGUAUUAGGGUUCAGAAUCAUGGAGGAAAGAAAGAGUUGGAGAGAACACUUACUUUGGAACAGUGGUUUUCAACUUUGACUGCAUACUGAAAAAACCUGGGCAGCUCUAAAAAGUACUGAUGCCUAGGACUUAACCUCAGAGACUCUUAAUUUAAUUGCCUUGGUAUGUUGCUAGUGAAUUGAGUUUCAAAAGCUCUCUAGCUGAUAUUAAUGUGCAGCUAAGAUUGAAAACCUCUGCUCUAGAGUUAAAAAGGCCAAUAUUGUUUUAGGAAAACAAGUGAAGAAUAUUAGUUAGAAUUCUGCAACUUAUCAGGGUCCAAAGUGUACUUGAGUGAAGAAGUGAAAACUUGUAGGGAAGAAAACAGGUUAGGACAAGAAGUCACUUAGACUUGGGCCAGCAAGUGAUAUCAUUUUUACAAGGUGAAGAUGAGAAGAAAGAAGAAUGUAGUUAAAAGAAGCAUAAACGGGACCUGAAGGCAGAAUCAUAAUUCAAAGUUCAGGAAUUAAAGGCUGAGUGAGAACUCAGACUGGAAUUCUUCACGGAAAACACAUCUACUUCCUCCUGUGAAAAUAUGGCAUUUUAUACUUAAAUUCAAACUUGGUUAAUGAGCUGCCCCCUCAUCCUCUGUUGUUGGGAGCAGGAAGCCUGGUGUGAAAUCGCACUUGGUUACCUUCAUUACCUUGAUGUGUGGUAGCUGACCUAGGAAUGCAGCCUGAAUAAAUCAGCACCUCCUAGAUACACAAUGAACAGAAGGGCUCAGAAGAAAUAUGAGGACAAAUAGGUAAGCUAA